rnacentral:rRNA from 1 species
GAUGAACGCUAGCGGCAGGCUUAACACAUGCAAGUCGAGGGGCAGCACGAUGUAGCAAUACAUGGGUGGCGACCGGCGCACGGGUGCGUAACACGUAUGGAAUCUGCCCUUUACUGGAGGAUAGCCCGGAGAAAUCCGGAUUAAUACUCCAUAAUAAGCGAGGUGGCAUCACCUUGUUUUGAAAGCUCCGGCGGUAAAGGAUGACCAUGCGCACGAUUAGCUAGUUGGUGAGGUAACGGCUCACCAAGGCUACGAUCGUUAGGGGGCCUGAGAGGGUUAUCCCCCACACUGGUACUGAGACACGGACCAGACUCCUACGGGAGGCAGCAGUGAGGAAUAUUGCGCAAUGGAGGCAACUCUGACGCAGCCAUGCCGCGUGCAGGAAGAAGG